rnacentral:rRNA from 1 species
CAGUAGCCGCGGGAAUACGUAGGUGGCAAGCGUUGUCCGGAAUUAUUGGGCGUAAAGGGCUCGCAGGCGGUUUCUUAAGUCUGAUGUGAAAGCCCCCGGCUUAACCGGGGAGGGUCAUUGGAAACUGGGAAACUCGAGUGCAGAAGAGGAGAGUGGAAUUCCACGUGUAGCGGUGAAAUGCGUAGAGAUGUGGAGGAACACCAGUGGCGAAGGCGACUCUCUGGUCUGUAACUGACGCUGAGGAGCGAAAGCGUGGGGAGCGAACAGGAUUAGAUACCCCAGUAGUCCCUGUCUCUUAUAC